rnacentral:rRNA from 1 species
GAUACUGACACUGAGUGCGAAAGCGUGGGGAGCAAACGGGAUUAGAUACCCCGGUAGUCACGCCGUAAACGAUGUCUACUAGCCGUUGGAGGACUUGAUCCUUUAGUGGCGCAGCUAACGCGAUAAGUAGACCGCCUGGGGAGUACGGUCGCAAGAUUAAAACUCAAAUGAAUUGACGGGGGCCCGCACAAGCGGUGGAGCAUGUGGUUUAAUUCGAAGCAACGCGAAGAACCUUACCUACUCUUGACAUCCAGUGAACUUUUGAGAGAUCAAUUGGUGCCUUCGGGAACACUGAGACAGGUGCUGCAUGGCUGUCGUCAGCUCGUGUUGUGAAAUGUUGGGUUAAGUCCCGUAACGAGCGCAACCCUUGUCCUUAGUUACCAUCAUUAAGUUGGGGACUCUAAGGAGACUGCCGGUGACAAACCGGAGGAAGGCGGGGACGACGUCAAGUCAUCAUGGCCCUUACGAGUAGGGCUACACACGUGCUACAAUGGCAUGUACAAAGGGUUGCCAAGCCGCGAGGUGGAGCUAAUCCCAUAAAGCAUGUCGUAGUCCGGAUUGGAGUCUGCAACUCGACUCCAUGAAGUCGGAAUCGCUAGUAAUCGUGAAUCAGAAUGUCACGGUGAAUACGUUCCCGGGCCUUGUACACACCGCCCGUCACACCAUGGGAGUGGGUUGCUCCAGAAGUAGAUAGCUUAACCUUCGGGAGGGCGUUUACCACGGAGUGAUUCAUGACUGGGGUGAAGUCGUAACAAGGUAACCGUA